UACGUAGGCAGCGAGCGUUGUUCGGAGUUACUGGGCGUAACGUGCUCGUAGGUGGCCAACUAAGUCAUACGUGAAAUCCCUCAGCUUAACUGGGGAACUGCGUCUGAUACUGGAUGGCUUGAGUUUGGGAGAGGGAUGCGGAAUUCCAGGUGUAGCGGUGAAAUGCGUAGAUAUCUGGAGGAACACCGGUGGCGAAGGCGGCAUCCUGGACCAACACUGACACUGAUGAGCGAAAGCCAGGGGAGCAAACGGG
rnacentral:rRNA from 1 species